rnacentral:lncRNA from 1 species
GCCCACUUUUUUUCUUUCUUGAGAGAGACCUAACAUGAAUGGACUCUCUUCACAACUGAGUUCCACUCAGCAUAUUUGUGCCUGAUCCUGAUCAUUGCAUCAGCUCCAUGAGUUCUGGAAAAGGCACUGUGGUCUCGUGUCAUGGGGUUCUCAGGAGAGUACAACAGCUCACACUCUAAGGACUUGAAUUGACUGGUGGAUUUGUACCUGGUGAGUGGGUGCGGUAGGCAGGGUGAGUCAUAAACAGAAUGUAAGACCCAAAGCCCAUCACUGGAUUGUCUCAGAAGGCAAGCAUGGUUCUGAUAGUUGCUGUCCCAGCAGGGGGUGCUCGUCAUGGUGGCUCCUGGAGACAUAGAAGACCCAUUCACACCACUGGGCAGGUGGUGGGAGAGCGACCAGGGAUCAUGCCCUCUGCCUCUACUGAGCCACGUCUUUUGAAUGGGAAGGAAGGCAACCGACAGCUCCCUUCAGUCCAGUGAUGUGCACCGGAUACUGUAAGGGGUAAGCUUGUGGUUGCUCAGCAGGUGCCUUGUGAGUAUCCCCAUCUUCAUUUAAUGAGAAAACUGAGGUCUAAUACAGAAUGUCUCAAAGCUCACACAUUUUAGUAACUAACCAAAUCAUCAUUCACACCUUAAUCUAACUCCAAAUCUAGGCCUUCAUCAACAGAGUAAAAUUCAGUCCCUGAACCCAGACCUUGUGAGUGAGCCACGUCAGUGAGCCACGUCCCGCCUUCCAUCGCUGUCCUUUGCCAGCACGUUCAGUCUUCCACUCUACCCCCAUAGCUCCCCAACCACAGACCACAGGCUCCAGCAGAGCUCAGGGACUGCCACUCUGAUUCAGAGAUAAGGAGUCUGUUACAUAGCUUUUCUCAUCCACUGUUAUCCACUUUGCUUCCUGGACCUCAUGGGGAGUUUUAGUUAAAAUUCUCAUCAUAAGUACUUAGUUAAAGGCACCUUUCCCUCUUUCGCUGGUUCUCAUACCUUGGAGGAAUUAGAGAAGCUGAUAAAAGUAAUCAAGAUGCAAAGAUGAAGGUGUGUUUCCUGAAGUCUCUGGAAUUUUGGACCCCACUGCUCAGGCAGUGGGGCAACUGGAGCAUUGGAAGAUUUAACACAAUUCCUUGAAGAGCAAAUGGGGGAGGAAAUAGCGAUGUGGGCUGAAAGCUCAGAGAAACAACAUCCAACUCAACACAUUUUAACAUUCAACCAUAGUCAUGAACACUUACUAGGUACCUAGCAUUGGGCACAAAAUAAAUAAAGCACAGUCCUCUGUCA